rnacentral:rRNA from 1 species
UACGAGGGGUGCAAGCGUUGCUCGGAAUUAUUGGGCGUAAAGGGUAGGUAGGUGGUCUCGUUUGUCUGGGGUGAAAGCCUUGAGCUUAACUCAAGAAGUGCCCUAGAAACGGCGAGACUGGAGUCUUGGAGAGGGUCGUGGAAUUCCCGGUGUAGAGGUGAAAUUCGUAGAUAUCGGGAGGAACACCAGUGGCGAAGGCGGCGAUCUGGGAAGAUACUGACGCUGAGGUGCGAAAGCGUGGGGAGCAAACAGG